GCCUAUCUGAACAGUCGUACGGAUACCAGUAAACUAUAAUAUUUUAACACUGGUCGACAUGUAUCCUUUUCUUUGCAAAAAACAAAGAAGUAAGACUAACUACGGUAGACGCCCUCGUAGGAAACUCGAGCGGCAGGAG
rnacentral:ncRNA from 1 species